rnacentral:rRNA from 1 species
AUUGAACGCUGGCGGCAUGCCUUACACAUGCAAGUCGAACGGCAGCACGGGAGCAAUCCUGGUGGCGAGUGGCGAACGGGUGAGUAAUAUAUCGGAACGUGCCCAGUAGUGGGGGAUAACUGCUCGAAAGAGCAGCUAAUACCGCAUACGACCUGAGGGUGAAAGGGGGGAUCGCAAGACCUCUCGCUAUUGGAGCGGCCGAUAUCAGAUUAGCUAGUUGGUGGGGUAAAGGCCUACCAAGGCAACGAUCUGUAGUUGGUCUGAGAGGACGACCAGCCACACUGGGACUGGGACACGGGCCAGACUCCUACGGGAGGCAGCAGCGGGGAAUUUUGGACAAUGGGCGCAAGCCUGAUCCAGCAAUGCCGCGCGCAGGAAGAAGGCCUUCGGGUUGUAAACUGCUUUUGUCAGGGAAGAAAUCCUCUAGGUUAAUACCCUUGGGGGGAUGACGGUACCUGAAGAAUAAGCACCGGCUAACUACGUGCCAGCCGCCGCCGUAACAC